rnacentral:sRNA from 1 species
CCCUCCAAGCCUCUCAACGAUGCUCAAACGGGAGGGG